AAGCAGACACUGACUACUUGCCAGAGGAAUGAUGUUGUGAAGACCAGGAAGCUCAUUCAGUUUUCAUACAGUUUCAGGUUGAGGCUAAAACUGCUUCUUUACAGCACCCACCUGUUACUUCUGAUUCCAUCCACCGGGGGCCAAAGAAAGCAAGAGAGUCCUGCCAUGUAACAAGAAUCAUUUUAAAAAGAAAAAGAGAAAGGAGAGAAAAAAUCACCCAAACUCAUCAAUACAUUGGGAAAAAUAAUUGAAAUAUAUGCAGUAUUCCAUACCAAUGGAUCACUCAUAUCUGCCAAGAAA